rnacentral:rRNA from 1 species
UACGGGGGGGCAAGCGUUGUUCGGAAUUACUGGGCGUAAAGGGCUCGUAGGCGGCCAACUAAGUCAGACGUGAAAUCCCUCGGCUUAACCGGGGAACUGCGUCUGAUACUGGAUGGCUUGAGUUUGGGAGAGGGAUGCGGAAUUCCAGGUGUAGCGGUGAAAUGCGUAGAUAUCUGGAGGAACACCGGUGGCGAAGGCGGCAUCCUGGACCAACACUGACGCUGAGUGAGCGAAAGCCAGGG